GCCUUAAUUGGCUUAUAACUAUAUCCACUUACACCUGUGAACUGUUCUACUACUUGACGCAAGUCGAGUAUUUUUACAAACAAUGUGUAAUGAACGUCGUUUUAUUAUAACAAAAUAAAACUUUCAACAACGGAUCUCUUGGCUCUCGCAUCGAUGAAGAACGCAGAGAAUUGCGAUAAGUAAUGUGAAUUGCAGAAUUCAGUGAAUCAUCGAAUCUUUGAACGCACCUUGCGCCCCUUGGUAUUCCGAGGGGCAUGCCUGUUUGAGCGUCAUUAAAUUCUCAAACUCACAUUUAUUUGUGAUGUUUGGAUUGUUGGGGGUUGCUGGCUGUAACAAGUCAGCUCCUCUUAAAUGCAUUAGCAGGACUCCUCAUUGCCUCUGCGCACGAUGUGAUAAUUAUCACUCACCAAUAGCACGCAUGAAUAGAGUCCAGCUCUCUAAUCGUCCGCAAGGACAAUUUGACAAUUUGACCUCAAAUCAGGUAGGACUACCCGCUGAACUUAAGCAUAUCAAUAAGCGGAGGAAAAGAAACUAACAAGGAUUCCCCUAGUAACGGCGAGUGAAGCGGGAAGAGCUCAAAUUUGAAAUCUGGCAGUCUUCGAUUGUCCGAGUUGUAAUCUAUAGAGGCGUUUUCCGUGCUGGACCGUGUACAAGUCUCCUG
rnacentral:rRNA from 1 species